GCUUGUCUCAAAGAUUAAGCCAUGCAUGUCUAAGUAUAACUCUUUUACUUUGAAAACUGCGAACGGCUCAUUAUAUCAGUUAUAGUUUCUUUGAUAGUCCCUUACUACUUGGAUACCCGUAGUAAUUCUAGAGCUAAUACAUGCAUCAAUACCCAACUGUUCGCGGAAGGGUAGUAUUUAUUAGAUUUCAAUCAACACUUUUUGCUGACUCAUGAUAACUUAGCGGAUCGCAGAGGCCUCGCGCCGGCGACAAAUCAUUCAAGUUUCUGCCCUAUCAGCUUUCGAUGGUAGUGUAUUGGACUACCAUGGCAUUCACGGGUAACGGAGGAUUAGGGUUCGAUUCCGGAGAGGGAGCCUGAGAAAUGGCUACCACAUCCAAGGAAGGCAGCAGG
rnacentral:rRNA from 1 species